rnacentral:rRNA from 1 species
UACGUAGGUGGCAAGCGUUGUCCGGAUUUAUUGGGUUUAAAGGGUGCGUAGGCGGCGCCGUAAGUCAGUGGUGAAAUACUCUAGCUCAACUAGAGGGGUGCCAUUGAUACUGCGGUGCUUGAGUGAAGUCGAGGUAGGCGGAAUUGACGGUGUAGCGGUGAAAUGCUUAGAUAUCGUCAAGAACACCAAUAGUGAAGACAGCUUACUAGACUUAUACUGACGCUGAGGCACGAAAGUGUGGGGAUCAAACAGG